rnacentral:rRNA from 1 species
CGAACGAAACUUCUUACACAGAAUGCUUGCAUUCACCGUAAGAAGUUGAGUGGCGGACGGGUGAGUAACACGUGGGUAACCUGCCUAAAAGAAGGGGAUAACACUUGGAAACAGGUGCUAAUACCGUAUAUCUCUAAGGAUCGCAUGAUUCUUAGAUGAAAGAUGGUUCUGCUAUCGCUUUUAGAUGGACCCGCGGCGUAUUAACUAGUUGGUGGGGUAACGGCCUACCAAGGUGAUGAUACGUAGCCGAACUGAGAGGUUGAUCGGCCACAUUGGGACUGAGACACGGCCCAAACUCCUACGGGAGGCAGCAGUAGGGAAUAUUCCACAAUGGACGCAAGUCUGAUGGAGCAACGCCGCGUGAGUGAAGAAGGUCUUCGGAUCGUAAAACUCUGUUGUUAGAGAAGAACACGAGUGAGAGUACUGUUCAUUCGAUGACGGUAUCUAACCAGCAAGUCA